GACGAACGCUGGCGGCGUGCUUAACACAUGCAAGUCGAACGGAAAGGCCCUGCUUUUGUGGGGUGCUCGAGUGGCGAACGGGUGAGUAACACGUGAGUAACCUGCCCUUGACUUUGGGAUAACUUCAGGAAACUGGGGCUAAUACCGUAUAGGAGCUCCUGCUGCAUGGUGGGGGUUGGAAAGUUUCGGCGGUUGGGGAUGGACUCGCGGCUUAUCAGCUUGUUGGUGGGGUAGUGGCUUACCAAGGCUUUGACGGGUAGCCGGCCUGAGAGGGUGACCGGCCACAUUGGGACUGAGAGACGGACCAGACUCCUACGUGAGGCAGCAGUGGGGAAUAUUGCACAAUGGGCGGAAGCCUGAUGCAGAAACGCCGCGUGCGGGAUGACGGCCUGUGGGUUGUAAACCGCUUUCGCCUGUGACGAAGCGUGAGUGACGGUAAUGGGUAAAGAAGCACCGGCUAACUACGUG
rnacentral:rRNA from 1 species